ensembl:lncRNA
GCAAGAAACUUGGGUUUGAUACCUGAAUAAGAAAGAUCCCCUGGAGAAGGAAAUGGCAACCCACUCCAGUAUUCAUACCUGAGAAAUCCUAUGGACAGAGGAGCCUGGUGCGCCAUAAUCCGUGGAGUGGCAGAGUGACCGGAGCGACCAAACAACACCUCUCCUUAGGGACACUAUGCUUACAGCUGUGACACUGGCGUUGCUGUGACCAGGAAUUUGAGAUACACCUCCCAUUUUACAAAAAUCUCUGGAGGAUUUCCUGUGUGCCAGGCUCCGUGAUGGGCGCUGGGGUAUAAAGCGAGCAAGACAGACCAGCUCCCUGCUUACAGGAAGCUUCUAGUCAGGGACACAGUCCAUCCACAAGAAACAAGUAUGCCUCUGAUUUCAGAUAAUGAGAGUGCUAUGGAGAAAAUACACAGUUGUACAGGAGACAGAGUGUUGUUGGAAGUGGAUCCUGCCUGCUAUUCAUCACCGUGAGAUAGCAGAUACAACGGCAAGCAUGUGGGAUUUGAAAACGGACUGCCCGGCUCCAAGUCCAGCCUCUGUCACUUAUCAGCUAUGACCUUAGGACACUCCUGUGAUGAGACCCCUGCAAGGCUUUUGGUUCUCAGACAUCUAAGAGGGAAGAAGACAACUGUGUGUCUCAUGUUUUCAUCCACCUGGAAAGGAGGGGAGAACUGACUCCACAUUGGAUCUGCCUCUUUACGUUAACCUUUGCUUCUUGUGGCCUUGUUUGCUGAAAGGACACUGUUUUUACAUAAUGGUCUGCCUUGGGGAACCCUGCCCCUCUGCCUGAAUAUCAAGGCUCCUUUGCUCAGGACCCUAUCCACCUGUGGAUAGCUACAGGAAGGAAGAAGUUAACACACCCCCUCGCAGAAGCUUGCCACUCUAGGACGUGUUUGCAAGAUUAAUGGCCUUUUUACUUUGCUUCCUCACCUCUCCUUCUCACCCUUGUUCUGUACAAGAGCCUGGCUUCCAGACCCAGACAAGAUGGUUAUUUUGAGACAUUAGUCUGCCAUCUUCUCGGGGCCAGCUUUCCAAAUAAAGUUGUAUUCCUUCCCUCGA